UACGUAGGGAGCAAGCGUUGUUCGGAUUUACUGGGCGUAAAGGGCGCGUAGGCGGCGCGACAAGUCACUUGUGAAAUCUCCGGGCUUAACUCGGAACGGUCAAGUGAAACUGUCAUGCUAGAGUGCAGAAGGGGCAAUCGGAAUUCUUGGUGUAGCGGUGAAAUGCGUAGAUAUCAAGAGGAACACCUGAGGUGAAGACGGGUUGCUGGGCUGACACUGACGCUGAGGCGCGAAAGCCAGGGGAGCAAACAGG
rnacentral:rRNA from 1 species